rnacentral:lncRNA from 1 species
GGGGGAAGGAGCCUCCAGACGGAUGGACGCGGUGUUCCUGGCACCCCUCGGCUUUGCAAGCGGUCCUGUGAAAUAAACUGGUUGAAAAUUCCUCUUUCCUUGGGAAGUAUUUACUAGAAUUCUCCCUACCUCUGAAGCCUUUUUAUUGCUGAUGAAACUCGACUUCAGCCAGAGAAAUCUUCUCAUUCGUGUUAAUGUGAGGUAAUUCAGGCCCACACCAGUGAAGGCCCAAAAUAAAAGCAAAAGUGAUUGCGGGGCAGAGCCAUCUCUGUGAGUUAAAAUGAAGUCUAGCCACGUGAGUGAAGCUAAGAAUUUGCAGCGUGACCUUUAGUGCUAGAAGUAGACCCUCCAUAAUAACAGGAAUUAAAUCUUCAGACUGCAGUGAUG